AUGGACUCCUCCGGCGACGGAGGGGACGAGGGGGCCGGGGCCGCGCCGGGGAGCCCCGCGUCGGCGCCCUCCGCGGGGGCCGGGCCCGGCGGCGCGUCUGGAUCCAGCGGGAAGCCCACGGCGAGGCGCGUCAUGAAGACGCCCUACCAGUUGGAGGUCCUCGAGCAGACCUACACAGAUGACCCGUACCCUAACGAGGCCAAGCGGGUGGAGCUGUCGGCGAAGCUGGGGCUCACGGACAGGCAGCUGCAGAUGUGGUUCUGCCACCGGAGGCUCAAGGACCGCAGGCCGCCGCCCGCCACCAAGCGGCGGGACGAGGAGGUCGCCGUGCCGGUCCUGGCGCCCCCGCCCGUGCUGCACCACUCGCUGCCACACCCGCACGCCGAGCCAACGUACGGCGAGCAGCUGCUGCUGCCCUGCGGCCGCUCCCGCAGAGGGCCUGGCCGCUCGUCUGCCGUGCCGAGGAUUUCUGCUCCAGAGGUUGACAGGAGGUACUACGAGGCGGCGCAUCAGGUCAUGCUGCCUCCGCAGGCACCGGUGCAGCUCACGCGGGCCGCGCACCGGGCGAUCGAGACCGUGCAGCAGCUCAUAGGAGAGCCGCUGAGGGAGGAUGGGCCCGUGCUUGGUGAUCACUUUGAUCCGCUCCCUCCUGGUGCAUUUGGAGCGCCUAUGCCUGUUGUUCCAGAGCAGCGGAAGCAGCCUUAUCGAUCACAUGAGACCAGUGUAUUUUCUGCACACGAUCCCAAGCCCAUGAAGGCAUCAGCAUUCUUGCCAAGCAUAGACCCUUCUGUUUCAAGUACAGUUACUGGGAAGAGGAAGUACAUGUCUGGAAAUUCUUCUCAUCUUCCUUCACGGGCAGUACAUGAGUACCAGUUUCUUCCAGAACACACUAGCGAUAUAUAUGAGAGAACAAGCCAGUCGUGUUUUUAUGAUGCUUCAGCGGAAGCUUCAAAUUCGAGGAUAUCUUCUCUGUCUACAGGAUCACGCUUACUACAUGGUGCUGAGAAAGCAUCUAGCUAUGCAUUUGAUGGUCAAGUAUCUGGCUCUAGCCAUUUAAUUCAACAUGGAAAACCAUUGAUCUCCCUGUCGGGAUCCGCAGAUUAUGAGAUGGCUUCGAAUAUUGAUGUUAGUCCUGCUCCAAUUGAAGGCCAGUUUGGCAUUCCUCAGGUUGCUGGACUUCAAAAUCCCCUUGCAUCCGCUGAAGGAGUGGAUUAUCACGAUGAAGAUGCAUAUCGACUGGAUAGAAAGCGAAAACAUAAUGAAGAAUCAAAGAUUGCGAAGGAAGUUGAUGCUGAAGAAAAACGGAUAAGAAAGGAACUCGAGAAGCAAGAUGUGUUGAAGAAAAAGAGAGAAGAACAAAUGCGGAAGGAAGUUGAGAGGUAUGACCGUGAAAGAAAAAAAGAAGAGGAGAGGUUUAUGCGCGAAAAACAGAGGGAAGAAGAGAGACUCCAGAAGGAACAAUGGCGUGAACAGAAACGCAUGGAGAAGUUUUUGGUGAAACAAUCCUUGAGAGCCGAAAAACUAAAGCAGAAAGAGGAGCUUCGAAAGGAGAAAGAAGCUGCAAGACAAAAGGCUGCUAAUGAAAGGGCUACAGCACGUAGAAUUGCACGGGAGUACAUGGAACUAAUGGAAGAUGAACGGUUAGAACUAAUGGAACUGGUUUCACGAAGCAAAGGGUUGCCCUCGAUGCUUUCUCUUGAUAGUGACACAUUGCAGCAACUCGAUUCAUUUAGAGGAAUGCUGACACAGUUUCCUACUGAAGCUGUGAGAUUGAAGGUGCCAUUUUCAAUAAAGCCAUGGACAAGUUCUGAGAGUAACAUUGGAAACCUUCUGAUGGUGUGGAAGUUCUUUUUUACCUUUGCGGAUGUACUUGAGCUUCCAUCAUUCACACUCGACGAGUUUGUGCAAUCUCUUCAUGAUUAUGACUCAAGGUUGUUGGGGGAAUUGCAUGUUGCUGUGCUGAAAUCCAUCAUAAAAGAUAUUGAGGAUGUUGCCCGGACUUCUUCAGUUGUUUCCGGAGUGAAUCAGAGCAGUUCUGCUAACCCCGGAGGUGGACAUCCACAGAUUGUUGAAGGGGCAUAUGCUUGGGGGUUCAACAUACUUACCUGGCAGCGCCACUUGACUUAUCUUACGUGGCCUGAAAUAUUGCGCCAAUUUGGUUUAUCUGCUGGUUUUGGGCCUCAGUUGAAGAAAAGGACUGAAGAUGUAUACCAUGACGAUAAUGAGGGCCGGAAUAGUGCGGAUGUUAUUUCCACUCUGCGAAAUGGUUCAGCAGCUGUGAAAUCUGCUGCUUUGAUGAAAGAAAGGGGCUACACCAACCGUCGCAGGUCUAGGCACCGUCUGACACCUGGAACGGUAAAAUUUGCUGCUUUCCAUGUUUUAUCACUUGAAGGAGACGAAGGUCUCUCGAUACUGGAAGUUGCAGAAAAAAUUCAGAGAUCUGGACUUAGGGACCUUACAACAAGCAAGACACCUGAGGCAUCUAUAUCUGCUGCAUUGUCAAGGGAUACCAAGCUUUUUGAAAGAACCGCGCCCUUGACAUAUUGUGUUAAAACUCCUUAUAGAAAAGACCCAGCUGAUUCUGAGGCUGUGUUCUCAGAAGCAAGGGAAAAAAUAAGGGUGUUUCAGAAUGCAUUUUCGGGGUGUGAAGAAGUGGAAAAGGAUGUGGAGGAUGCUGAAAGGGGGGAUGAUGAUUCUGAAUGUGACGAGGCCGAUGAUGAUCCUGAUGGCGAUGAAGUGAAUAUAGAGGAAAAAGAUGUCAAUGCUUCAGUAGCUAGAGCAAAAGAUGCUGGCUUGCCAAUUGCAGCUGGUGACACAAAUGAUGAAGUAAAAGGUGUGAUUAACCCAUCUAUGCCAUCAAGCCCUCACAGUAAAUCUCCCAGUGGCUUGCAGCGUAUGGUAGAUAAGUCCACUGCAGUUAGUACUUCAAGUGAUCCACCCAUUGGAGCUUCACAAGACGCAGAGAUUGAUGAAAGUAACCAAGGGGAAUCCUGGGUUCAGGGGCUAGCUGAAGGUGACUACUGUGAUCUUAGUGUGGAGGAACGCCUCAAUGCAUUGGUUGCACUGAUUGGUGUUGCCACUGAAGGAAAUUCUAUGCGUGCAAUUCUGGAGGAACGUCUUGAGGCAGCAAAUGCUUUAAAAAAGCAAAUGUGGGCAGAGUCACAACUUGAUAGAAGGCGUUCAAGGGAAGAGUUUGCAGGCAGAAUGCAACAUGAUCCUUGCACGGAUUUGAAGGCUGAUGCGGAUCAAGGAAAUAAUGUUGGUGAAUGCACUCUUACUCAAGUACAUAAUCUCAUCAAAGAGAAUGGUGGAAAGGCCAGCUCAGUAAACAAUGAUUUUCUCGUCGACCAACAAAGUCAACUUAAUGCUGGUAAUAUGGUUCACGAGGGGAAUGGUGUAAGCAGGAUAUCCAAUGCUAACCCAGAGAGCUUGUCUGCUCAGCAAUAUGCUUCAUCUGAGAAAACACGAUCUCAGUUGAAAUCAUUCAUAGGUCAUAAGGCAGAACAGCUGUAUGUCUACAGAUCAUUGCCUCUUGGACAAGAUCGAAGACGGAAUCGGUAUUGGCAGUUUUCUACUUCUGUAUCAUCCAAUGACCCUGGGUCUGGAAGAAUAUUCUUUGAAUCUAGAGAUGGAUACUGGAGGCUCAUUGACUCGGCUGAGGCAUUUGAUGCUUUAGUAGCUUCCCUUGACACUCGUGGCAUCCGGGAGUCACAUCUGCAUUCAAUGUUGCAAAGCAUCGAGUCAACCUUUAAGGAUGCUAUAGGGAGGAUAAAGUGUGCCACUAUAGAACACUCAGCUGGAAGGAAUUUGAGAAAUGGAAGUAGUGAAAUCAUUAGCCCAAAUCAUAGUAAUGAAUUUGGAAGUCCAUGCAGCACCCUUUCAGGUGUCGUUUCUGAUACUGUAGUGGCAUACUCGGAUUCUUUCAAGAUAGAGCUCGGGCGUAAUGAUCUUGAGAAGGUUGCUAUUUCCGAGAGGGCAUGUAUGUUUCUGAAGUGGAUGUGGGAGGGCAAUCAUCAGUCCACAUGUGCCAUGAAAUAUGGAAAGAAACGGUGUUCUGAUUUGAUACAUGGUUGUGAUUAUUGCUAUCAGAUUUAUUUAGCUGAAGAAACGCACUGUUCGUCUUGCCACAAGACAUUCAAAUCCAUUCACAGUCUCUCGGAACAUACAUCACAAUGUGAGGAGAAACGGAGAACCGAUCCUAAUUGGAAGAUACAAAUAUCAGAUGAUUCUGUUCCCAUAAGACCGAGAUUGCUGAAGCUGCUGUUAGCUACCAUUGAGGCCUCGGUUCCAGCAGAAGCUCUCCAACCAUUUUGGACAGAUGGAUAUCGAAAAUCAUGGGGUGUUAAGUUGUUUUCUACAUCAUCCAACGAAGAAAUUUUCCAGCUGUUAACUGUGCUGGAAGGUGCACUAAAAAGGGAUUACUUGUCAUCUAACUUUGAAACGACUGCUGAGUUGCUUAAUUCAAAUACACUAGAUUUUGCUGGUCGGAAUUCUAUUGCAUGUUCUGGAUCUGCUGCUGUACUUCCAUGGGUACCCAGCACUGCUGCUGCUGUUACAUUACGGCUGUUAGACCUUGAUUCUUCCCUCUCGUACACGCUUGAUCAAAAGGCAGGAUUAAAUAAAGAGCGAGAAGCUGGGGAUUUCAUUAAGGGUCCUUCGAGAUAUACUGCUGUUAAGAACAAACAAGAAAUGGGGCCGGUGGGAGCUCCUGGCUUUGAUCAUCAUGUUGGAGCGCAGCUGACUCCCAGCAAUGGUCUUAGAGGCCGUGGACGAGGAGGUCGAGGGCGUGGCAGGGGAGGUAGAUCCCUCAGUCGUGGUGGCAGGGUCCCAAGAGGUGUUGGCAGCUCUCCCAGGAUUGAGUUCAGGGAUGACAACAAUGUGUCUUAUAAGGAAACCACAGAUAAGCAAGCUGGCCGAGGCCGUGGGCGUGGUCGCGGCCGUGGGCGCGGGCGAGGACGUGGACGUGGACGUGGCAGUAUCACUGAAAGUGGCAGUGGCAGUGGCAGUGUCCGAGGUCGUGGAAGAGGACGAGGACGAGGACUUCGAACUGUUAGGCCUAGGCAGCCAGUUGAGCUUGGAGCCAGAUCAAUUCCAAAGGCAAACUUGUUGGGAACCUUUGGCAUGCUAAGUAAUGCAAAGCCUAUGACUCUGCAUUCUCCACAGAGCUCUGGUGCGGAAGAGUGGGGCUUGGAUAGACGAGCAUAUGCCGAGGAUGACGAGGACAACUCAGUAUCUCAAUCAGAUGAAUCAGAAAGGGACGAAGAAAAUGGCGAGCCCAUGAACGAGGAUUACGAUGAGCAGCUUCCAGAUUAUUCAAGGGACAAUUCUGCAUCCAGCCCCCGUCAGAUGAUGGAUUCGGAGUCAGAAGAUAAUGAUGAAUACGAUGAGGAGGGCGAGGAGGACGGGGCCGACUAUGAUGCUGAGCAACCUAUGGACGAAGACAACGAUGAUGCUGAGAUGAGCGGGGAUGACGAACUUGGUGAUGACGGCGACGAUGAUGACGGUGGUGGUAGUCAGGGUGGAGCGGGGAACGCCGACGACGAUGAUGCAACAUCCUAUUCUUCAGAGUAUAGUGAAUAA
rnacentral:rRNA from 1 species